CAUGCAAGUCGAGCGAAGCAGUUAAGAAGAUUCUUCGGAUGAUUCUUAACUGACUGAGCGGCGGACGGGUGAGUAACGCGUGGGUGACCUGCCCCAUACCGGGGGAUAACAGCUGGAAACGGCUGCUAAUACCGCAUAAGCGCACAGAGCUGCAUGGCUCGGUGUGAAAAACUCCGGUGGUAUGGGAUGGGCCCGCGUCUGAUUAGGCAGUUGGCGGGGUAACGGCCCACCAAACCGACGAUCAGUAGCCGGCCUGAGAGGGCGACCGGCCACAUUGGGACUGAGACACGGCCCAAACUCCUACGGGAGGCAGCAGUGGGGAAUAUUGCACAAUGGGGGAAACCCUGAUGCAGCGACGCCGCGUGAGCGAAGAAGUAUUUCGGUAUGUAAAGCUCUAUCAGCAGGGAAGAUAAUGACGGUACCUGACUAAGAAG
rnacentral:rRNA from 1 species